AAGAAGCUUAGUUUUUUUUCUGUGCCGAAUGUUGUUCGUUGGCAAUGCAGCCAGACCUUAGAGAUCUCAACGAAGCGUCGAGCGGAAUGGUUUCGUCGCCUCUACCGGGGUGACAUUAAUACAGACGCUACCCACUACAAAGUCUGCAGCGAGCACUUCGUUUCUGGCAGGCCAUCCUACUUAAUGGAUCUGACGAACCCGGACUGGGCGCCAAGCUUGCACCUAGGGUAUGACACAAAGUCAACAACUCGAUCUGAAGAAAGGCACCAGCGACGUUGCAAGAGGGCUGCGACUCCAAAGGUGGUCCAAAAGGCCGAUAGCAGAGUGCUACGACCCUUGACUACAAUGUUGAAUGCACAGCAGAGUGCUGUGAACAGUACUGUCACAAGUAAAAUGGCUGAUUCAUACAAGGGGAAUAUUUCCUUUAAUGACAUUCAGCGUCUUAACAUCUUUGUUUUUAUGCAGGCACACCACUUGCAAGUCCCAUUGCAGUACAAAAUGACCAAGGCAAUGAGUCACAUAUGUCUCAUGCAGUUAAUUGUUGCAUGAUUAGUCUUUCUGUCAAGAACAACCUCACUGCAGGUGGCCCAUCAUCUACCCCAUUUCUUGCAGCCCAACAAUGCUGCAACAAGUACCAGCUGCAACUGUACCACAAGAUGCUGAUACUGCAGCUGACAUAUUUCACCCACCAUCCAUGCCAUCACCUGAGGUAGGCAGGGCCCCAGUCUCAGCUGAAACUGGUUCUACUGCUGGAGCUGCAGUGGAUGGCGCAUCCUGUGAGUACU
rnacentral:lncRNA from 1 species